rnacentral:rRNA from 1 species
GACGAACGCUGGCGGCGUGCUUAAUACAUGCAAGUCGAACGGUAAGGCGCGGCGUUUGUGGGGUGCUCGAGUGGCGAACGGGGGAGUAACACGUGAGUGACCUGCCCCUGACUGUGGGGGAACUUUAGGGGACAGGGGCGAAUAUCGGGUAGGAGCUCCGGCGGCAUGUGUGGGGUUUGAGAGAUGCGGCGUUUGGGGAUGAACUCGAGGCUUAUCAGCUUGUUGGUGGGGUAGUGGCGUACCCAGGCUUUGACGGGUAGCCGGCCUGAGAGGGUGACCGGCCACAUUGGGCCUGGGGUAGCGCCCAGACUCAUACGGGAGCAAGCAGUGGGGCACAGUGCACGAUGGGCGGAAGCCUGAUGCAGCAACUUCGCGUGCGGGAUGACGGUCUUCGGGUUGUAAACCGUUUUCGCCUGUGACGAGGCGUGAGUGACGGUAAUGGGUAAAGAAGCACCGGCUAACUACGUG